UUUUGUUUUAACAGAGGUUUUGAAAGCCUUUUAGGAGAAAUAAUUUUCUCAACAAAAA
rnacentral:tRNA from 1 species